rnacentral:sRNA from 1 species
CUUGGAGGGAGAGAGGGUGAGGGGAAUACAGUACUGGGGAUGGCAUCGUCGAGCCCUGACUCCCCAUGUUCCUGCGACUGCUUUGUCUCCGUGCCCCCGGCCUCAGCCAUCCCGGCUGUGAUCUUUGCCAAGAACUCGGACCGACCCCGGGACGAGGUGCAGGAGGUGGUGUUUGUCCCCGCAGGCACUCACACUCCUGGGAGCCGGCUCCAGUGCACCUACAUUGAAGUGGAACAGGUGUCGAAGACGCACGCUGUGAUUCUGAGCCGUCCUUCUUGGCUAUGGGGGGCUGAGAUGGGCGCCAACGAGCAUGGUGUCUGCAUUGGCAACGAGGCUGUGUGGACGAAGGAGCCAGUUGGGGAGGGGGAAGCCCUGCUGGGCAUGGACCUACUCAGGUGCAGACCCUGCCCUUCCUCAUCUGCCUGACACACCAGAAAUCUAGGGGCUGAGUUUUGACCUGGGCCCAUCCAUCCCUCCCCCAGCCUGGUUCACAGGGGCCUCCUCCUCUCUGCAGACUUUGCCCUUGUGCCUUCGUGAAGAAGGCUGCAGCAGCAGCCACCUUUGGGCCUCUCCUGGCCCAGAAAUAGAGCAGUGGUUAUUUAUUUAUUUUCAGUUGAAAUCUUACAUAGAGUCCCAAUUUAUAAAACCAGUAAUAGUGGAUGGAGCAGCUCUGGGUGGAGAGAGGUUAGGGGCUCAGGACACUUCUCUCUCUGAAACUGUGUUUCAGGCCUUUUCAUGGAACCCUCAAAGCAUAGCACAUGGAACCAGAGCAUUGAAGGCCACUGGCAUAAUUGCAUUUGAUACGAUCAGUGCCAGCAGAUUUGCUGUGUGACUUGGGCCUAUCACCAAACCUCUCCGGGCCUCUUCUGUCCCCUGGAGCUUCUGCCACCAGCCAUUGAUCCCUCUGUCACC